UAGCCCAAUGAUUAUAAAGAGACACGUUAUUAAGAGGACUCAAUGCUGGAAUUCUUUACCUUCUUUCUUUUCUGUACUUCUAUGUUCGCCAGUCAAAGAAAAAAAAAAAAAAGGGAUA